GGACGGUGACGAUGUCAUCAGUGAAAGGUCUCGUUCGUCGUAAAUUGGCUGUUUCCGAUAGCCUUUGCCGACCAUCCUGAUAAAUCAACACCCAUAUUCCGAGUCC